rnacentral:tRNA from 1 species
GCCCGAGUGGCGGAAUUGGCAGACGCACAGGACUUAAAAUCCUGCGGUGUAACAACCGUACCGGUUCGAGUCCGGUCUCGGGCA